AGGAACGUCAGAAACAGCAAGAGCAGGGAAGCUCUCCAGGUACCCCCUUCCGGGCUGCAAACCCUAGCUCAGGCUGGCAAAGUCCAGUUUAGACAUCUUGGAAUGUGACCCAAGACUGUCACAGACCGAGAAGCCGGCCUCGCCCCUCCAGACAGUAGGCUUUGACGACCCUGUCCCUUUAUUUCACUUUGUGUUUCAAUUUCCCUCGCUGCUCCUUAGUCCUCCCUAAUUCCAGUUUAAUGGAACAACAUUUUAGGGUGAGCCGGUGAUAAAAGAGGUGGAGAAAAGAAUUUUCUUGCUCACUCCAAGUACAUAAUCGAGAUGUCUUUUUCCCCAAAGAAGUUCGUUUUGUUUCCUUCCUGCUAGCUGAGACUCACAGCAGCCUUCUGCUUCCAAGCAAUUGUCACCAGAAAACGUGUCAGCAGAGGCUUCUGGAGCUCAAUCACAACAGGAUGACAGGGUCACAUGGACUCCCCCACUCGCCACAGGAGCCUCAGCCUCGCUGCAGACUUCUGAUUGGCCCUCGUCUUUCCGUCUUACCUUGAAAAAGAUAGAAAGAGGCCACUGGUGAAAGCUUCUGCCGAGAUCCAGAGAGAUCCUGCCUGGGGUACUCCGUGAGGCUUCCAUAAUGCCUGUUUCAGAGCACAAAGGAGCCAAAUCGAAGCCAAGGCUUAAUAAAUCCAUCAGCUUCCAGUCUUCCUUGCUUCCCCUUCCAGAUGCUUACACAAACAGCUCAUUUCAGAGUCUUACCAAGGGUGGGUGUAAAGUUCGCCAUCUAUGGUAGUGGAAUGGCUUCCUGUCUCUGAGGCUGUGACCAACUGGCCCAUC